ACGAACGCUGGCGGCGUGCUUAACACAUGCAAGUCGAACGGUGAAGCGAGUGCUUGCACUCGUGGAUCAGUGGCGAACGGGUGAGUAACACGUGAGUAACCUGCCCAUCACUCUGGGAUAAGCACUGGAAACGGUGUCUAAUACUGGAUACGACCAACCCUUGCAUGGGGUGUUGGUGGAAAGAUUUAUCGGUGAUGGAUGGACUCGCGGCCUAUCAGCUUGUUGGCGGGGUAAUGGCCCACCAAGGCGACGACGGGUAGCCGGCCUGAGAGGGUGACCGGCCACACUGGGACUGAGACACGGCCCAGACUCCUACGGGAGGCAGCAGUGGGGAUUAUUGCACAAUGGGCGAAAGCCUGAUGCAGCGACGCCGCGUGAGGGAUGACGGCCUUCGGGUUGUAAACCUCUUUCAGCAGGGAAGAAGCGAAAGUGACGGUACCUGCAGAAGAAGCACCGGCUAACUACGUG
rnacentral:rRNA from 1 species